ensembl:lncRNA
CAGCAGUCUUCCAGGCUCUGAUAAAUUAUGUUCUUAAGGACAUGCUCAGUCAGUUUGUAUUCGUCUACCUGGAUGAUAUAUCUUUUCAAGUUCCCCAAGUGAGCAAGUGGAGCAUAUGAAGAAGGUGCCAAAUCAUCUCCUCGAAUAUAACUUUUUAUGUGAAACCUGAGAAGUGUGAAUUUCAUGUGACCCAAGUACAGUUCCUGGGAUAGUAAUUACACCUGGCCACAUACAGAUGGAUCCCCAGAAAGUUUAAGCAGUCAUGGAUUGGCCCACUCCCUCAUCUGUGAAGGAGGUGGAGUGAUUUCUUGGUUUAGUCAACUUUUAGUCUGCCUUUAGUGAACUCAAACGCCACUUUACUUAAGCACCCAUUCUCACUGUCCCGGACCCAGACAAACUCUUUGUCAUAGAGGUGGAUGCCUCAGAUGUGGGUGCUGGAGCAGUACUUUCCCAGAGGGGAGAGGAUGACAUACUUCAUCCAUGUGCAUUCCUUUCCCACCGCCUAACUCCAAUGGAGUGGAAUUACCACGUGGGUGACCAAGAGUUACUGGCAGUUAAAUUGGCACAUGAAGAAUGGAGACAUUGGCUUGAGGGGGCCAAACACCCAUUUUAAAGUACUCGCUGACCACAAAAAUUUAGAGUAUAUUCAGCAGGCGAAGUGUCUUUGUCAGGCACACUGGUCUCUUCAACAGGUUUUAGUUUUAUUUAUCCUAUCGUCCCAGCUCGAAAAAUCUUAAACCUGAUGCUAUGUCUCAAGUAUAUGUAAGUAGUAACCAAGAAGAGCCUAUCACUCUGAUUAUCCCAAGCUCCAGUAUAGCGGCCCCUGUAUGGUGGUAACUCGAAAAUACAAUAAGAUAAGCCCAGUUCUGGGAACCAGACCCAGGUGGAGGGCCUUUUGGUGACUGACCAUCAAGGAGACCUUCAAGGAGAUACUUCAAAGACCCUAGUCACACCUCUCCAUGGACUUUAUUACUGGACUCCCAACAUCCCAAGGAUAUUGUCUCUGAUCAAGGCCCUCAGGUUUCCUCUUGAUUCUGGGGGGUAUUCAGUCAACUUUUGGGGGUGACGGUGAGCCUAUCCUCUGGAUUCCAUCCUGAGUCCAGUAGUCAAACAGAUAUUAAAUCAGGAUCUGGAGACUACUCUGAGGUGCAUGACUGCCAAUAAUCCAUCCCUCCUGGUCAUCCUUCAUUAUGUGGGUGGAGUAUGUACACAACACUCUAUGCUUAUCUGCUACAGGCAUGUCUUCCUUUGAAAGCCAGUUUGGUUACGCCCCUCCACUGUUCCCAGAACAAGUUGAAGUUGGAGUUCCCUCUGCACUUCGUUUCAUCAGACACAGAAGAAGGCUCGACACAAGCUUCUCAGUGUCUCUAAGUAAUAUCAGCCAUAGGGCUAAUCAUAGACACAGACCUGCUCCCACACUGUGUCCCGGCUAGAGUUUGGCUCUCCACUAAAAACUUGCCCUUGCAAGUUGAGUCCCGCAAACUCUCCCAGCACUUGACCGGGCCUUUAAGAGAGGUAGACCUCCCCCUCCUUCUCACAUUGUUGGAGGCCAACCAGCCUACAUGGUCCACUGGAUUGCCGUCAAGUGUGAAGAUCACUUCAGUAUAUUGUGGACUGACUACCUGCAAGGGACAUCUUAGACCCAAAAUUGAUAAGGGACUUCCACACUCAUAAACCCAAUCGUCCUGGGAGAAACGUCGGGAGCCAUUCUUAGAGAGGGGGUCCUGUCAGUAUUUUGGCUUGUAUUGUGUUUUGGCCUCUAGAGGUCCUCUUGGUGCUCUCUUGUUCAGCUUACUCUACUUGUAAUAAGUGUUAUUAUGUUCACAAGUGUCUCAUUUAGCUGUGUGUAUUUAAGUGGUAUUGUCUCCCAGUUCCUUUGCAUGGUGUUUUGUUCUACUAAGACAGCUGCCAGAGCAAGUGCUUGGUAGGUCUGAGAAAUUAUAAUAUCUUAUGAUUGUUACCUCUCUGAAUUUUGUGGAUUUCCUUUGGAUUGAUUUAGCUUUAAGAACUUUGAAUUUUUGGAAUAUUUUGGUGGGCUUCUAUCUUUGGACUGUAUUUGUUAUUUAAGAAUUGAUUUUUCUGUUUUUUGCUCUUUCUGUGAUUUUUUUUUUUUUUUUACUUUCGUUAAACCUACUGCAUCUCAACUUCUUCUAAGUGUGUCUAACUACUGGGUUCACCAUCCUCCAGUGGCUCAAGGAUUGAUUAUCUGACUCAUGUCAGAUACCUGAGUUUGAGCCCCGGCUCUGAGAACAGGAAUAUGUGUGGAAAAUAGAAAACUAAUUGUAGCCUAGAGAGAACUUUAAAUUAGAACUGCCUGCAUUGAGAAAUGUGUACUUUUUUUGGUUUUAAGGCCAUGACCACCAAGCCCACAGUCAGCCAUCAGUCAUCUUUGGGUCAUUGUUGAACAUCUGUCAGCUCAGUUUUUGUGGUAACUUCUGCACUGUCUGUGCUAGGGGUGCAAUGGUUCUCAGUAAAAGACCGAACCGUACUGUUUUCCACUCUCGGUCGGUACACAUUUGUACCACAAUUAAUCUCAGUUAUAAAAAAGGAUGUGGAUUAUCUGUUAUAGCGAAAAAACAAAGUUUCAAAUACACAUCUAAAUGUGUUCCUGUGGACCAUUCCACCUCUGACCAGCUGACACUUAUUUUGUACUUUUUUUCUAUUUAUUAUCUAUAAUUAUCUUUUUUUCUAGUAAUUAAAGAACUGAAGGC